AUUGAACGCUGGCGGCAUGCUUUACACAUGCAAGUCGAACGGUAACAGGCCGCAAGGUGCUGACGAGUGGCGGACGGGUGAGUAAUGCAUCGGAACGUGCCCAGUCGUGGGGGAUAACUACUCGAAAGAGUAGCUAAUACCGCAUACGAUCUAUGGAUGAAAGCGGGGGACCGUAAGGCCUCGCGCGAUUGGAGCGGCCGAUGUCAGAUUAGGUAGUUGGUGGGGUAAAGGCUCACCAAGCCAACGAUCUGUAGCUGGUCUGAGAGGACGACCAGCCACACUGGGACUGAGACACGGCCCAGACUCCUACGGGAGGCAGCGGUGGGGAAUUUUGGACAAUGGGCGCAAGCCUGAUCCAGCAAUGCCGCGUGCAGGAAGAAGGCCUUCGGGUUGUAAACUGCUUUUGUACGGAACGAAACGGCUCUGGUUAAUACCCGGGGCUAAUGACGGUACCGUAAGAGUAAGCACCGGCUAACUACGUG
rnacentral:rRNA from 1 species